rnacentral:tRNA from 1 species
GCCCUGGUGGCACAACAGUUAAGCAUUCGGCUGCUAACCAAACGGUUGGUGGUUUGAAUCCACCCAAUGACU